UACGGAGGGGGCGAGCGUUGUCCGAAUUUACUGGGCGUAAAGCGCGCGUAGGCGGAAACAUAAGUCUGCUGUGAAAGCCCGGAGCUCAACUCCGGAGGGUCGGUGGAUACUGUGUUUCUGGAAGAUGCUAGGGGGAGAUGGAAUUACCGGUGUAGCGGUGAAAUGCGUAGAUAUCGGUAGGAACACCAGUGGCGAAGGCGGUCUCCUGGGGCAUUCUUGACGCUGAGGUGCGAAAGCUGGGGGAGCGAACGGGAUUAGAUACCCCGGUAGUCCCAGCCCUAAACGAUGGAUACUAGGUGUGGGGGGUAUCGACCCCUCCCGUGCCGUCGCAAACGCAAUAAGUAUCCCGCCUGGGGAGUACGGCCGCAAGGUUG
rnacentral:rRNA from 1 species